AAUAUUAGUCAAUGCUCGCAAGAGUGAACUAGCUAACUGAAAUUACAAGAACCACUUUGUGGUGAAUGUAAUAACGUAAGGGAUAAAAAUGAUAUUACCUUACUAUUAGUGUUGUCCAAAGUUGGUGCCAGAAGACUCGGUAAGGCCAGAAACACAAACGUUAGUCGUCCUAAUCAGGCGUAAAGGGUAUGUAGGCUGCUUUAAAAAUAUUUUCAAAAAGAAAGAUGAGUCAAAGCUAGAAUCAAAAUGAGGAUAAGUCAAAUAAUACCUAGUGUAGGGUUUAAAUCUGUUGAUGUUAGGUAGAGUACUAACGGUGAAAGCUUUUUAUCUAGAAAUGAUUGACGCUGAGAAACGAAGGUGAGAAUAGGAAAUAGGAUUAGAUACCCAGAUACCUCUCACAGUCAACGAUGAAUGGUGGUUGUUAGUUAGUUUACUCUAACUGAUAAUGAUGUUAACACGAUAACCAUUCCGCCUUGCGAGUACGGUUGCAAAACUGAAACCAAAAAAAUUAGUCGGUCUCGAAGCAAACGAAGUGAAGCAUGUUAUUUAAUUC
rnacentral:rRNA from 1 species